GUCCCCGUAGCUCAAGUGGAUAGAGCCCGCGUUUCCUAAACGUGUUAUCCGAGUUCGAGUCUCGGCGGGGGCACCA
rnacentral:tRNA from 1 species